rnacentral:rRNA from 1 species
UACGUAGGGUGCAAGCGUUUGUCCGGAAUUUAUUGGGCGUAAAGAGCUCGUAGGCGGUCUGUCGCGUCUGCUGUGAAAACUCGGGGCUUAACUCCGGGCCUGCAGUGGGUACGGGCAGACUAGAGUGCGGUAGGGGAGACUGGAAUUCCUGGUGUAGCGGUGAAAUGCGUAGAUAUCAGGAGGAACACCGGCGGUGUAGACGGCUUACUGGACCAUGACUGACGCUGAGGCACGAAAGCGUGGGGAGCAAACAGG